AACGGCCGUACCAUGCUGAAUAUACCGGUUCUCGUUAGAUCACCGAAGUCAAGCAUCAUUGGGCGCGGUCAGUACCUGGGUGGGUGACCACCUGGGAACACCGCGUGCCGUU
rnacentral:rRNA from 1 species